CCUACGGGUGGCAGCAGUGGGGAAUAUUGCACAAUGGGGGGAACCCUGAUGCAGCGACGCCGCGUGGGUGAAGGAGUAUUUCGGUAUGUAAAGCCCUAUCAGCAGGGAAGAACAAUGACGGUACCUGACUAAGAAGCACCGGCUAACUACGUGCCAGCAGCCGCGGUAAUACGUAGGGGGCAAGCGUUAUCCGGAUUUACUGGGUGUAAAGGGGGCGCAGACGGCAGCGCAAGCCAGGAGUGAAAGCCCGGGGCCCAACCCCGGGACUGCUCUUGGAACUGCGCGGCUGGAGUGCAGGAGGGGCAGGCGGAAUUCCUGGUGUAGCGGUGAAAUGCGUAGAUAUCAGGAGGAACACCAGUGGCGAAGGCGGCUUACUGGACUGUAACUGACGUUGAGGCUCGAAAGCGUGGGGAGCAAACAGGAUUAGAUACCCUGGUAGUC
rnacentral:rRNA from 1 species